GUCAUUGUGGUGUACUGGUUUGUGUGUUGGAUUGUGACUCCGGAGAUCAGUGUUCGAACCCCUGCUCAGGCA